rnacentral:tRNA from 1 species
AGCGGUCAAGACACCACCCUUUCACGGUGGUAACAGGGGUUCGAUUCCCCUAUGAGUCA